rnacentral:rRNA from 1 species
GGGAUAACACUGGAAACAGGUGCUAAUACCGCAUAACCAUAGUUACCGCAUGGUAACUAUGUAAAAGGUGGCUAUGCUACCGCUUUUGGAUGGGCCCGCGGCGCAUUAGCUAGUUGGUGGGGUAAAGGCUUACCAAGGCAAUGAUGCGUAGCCGAACUGAGAGGUUGAUCGGCCACAUUGGGACUGAGACACGGCCCAAACUCCUACGGGAGGCAGCAGUAGGGAAUCUUCCACAAUGGGCGAAAGCCUGAUGGAGCAACGCCGCGUGGGUGAAGAAGGUCUUCGGAUCGUAAAACCCUGUUGUUAGAGAAGAAAGUGCGUGAGAGUAACUGUUCACGUUUCGACGGUAUCUAACCAGAAAGCCACGGCUAACUACGUGCCAGCAGCCGCGGUAAUACGUAGGUGGCAAGCGUUAUCCGGAUUUAUUGGGCGUAAAGGGAACGCAGGCGGUCUUUUAAGUCUGAUGUGAAAGCCUUCGGCUUAACCGGAGUAGUGCAUUGGAAACUGGGAGACUUGAGUGCAGAAGAGGAGAGUGGAACUCCAUGUGUAGCGGUGAAAUGCGUAGAUAUAUGGAAGAACACCAGUGGCGAAAGCGGCUCUCUGGUCUGUAACUGACGCUGAGGUUCGAAAGCGUGGGUAGCAAACAGGAUUAGAUACCCUGGUAGUCCACGCCGUAAAC